rnacentral:rRNA from 1 species
UACGUAGGUGGCAAGCGUUGUCCGGAUUUACUGGGCGUAAAGAGCGCGCAGGCGGUCGUUCAAGUCGCGUGUGAAAGCCCCCGGCUCAACUGGGGAGGGUCACGCGAUACUGAUCGACUCGAAGGCAGGAGAGGGAAGUGGAAUUCCCGGUGUAGUGGUGAAAUGCGUAGAUAUCUGGAGGAACACCGGUGGCGAAGGCGGCAUCCUGGACCGGUAUUGACGCUGAGGCGCGAAAGCCAGGGGAGCAAACAGG